rnacentral:tRNA from 1 species
GUGGGCGUAGCUCAACCGGUAGAGCGCCUCGCUGUGGCCGAGGUUGUUGGGAGUUCGAAUCUCCUCGCUCACC